AAAUAGACCUUCCCCAUCCUGAACAAGCCCAAUCCCGUCUGAUCUCGGAAGUUAAGCAGGGUCGGGCCUGGUUAGUACUUGGAUGGGAGACCACCGAGGAAGACCAGGUGCUGUAGGCA
rnacentral:rRNA from 1 species